CCUGAAUUCACGUGCAAGCAAUUAGCUUAUGCUUUGAUAGGUAAAUCCGUCAGAGUUCGCGAGUUGUGACGCAAAUUACUUACCGCAAGGUGAGCGAUUCUAGUGACAUCAGGUGCCAAGAAAAACCUCGGUAGCGAGAAAACUAAGCUUCCGUACCGCAAACCAACGCUGGUGGGUAGGUAGAGAAUACUAAGGUGAUCGGGAUAACUCACGUUAAGGAACUCGGCAAUACAGCAGGUGUAACUUCGGGAUAAACCUUGCCGGAUUUUUUAGAUUUCGAUUUAGAAGAUUCGGCCGCAGCAAAUCACUUCAUGCAACUGUUUACCAAAAACACAGGUCUCUGCAAAUUCGUAAGAAUAUGUAUAGGGGCUGAAGCCUGCCCAGUGCCAGAAGGUCACGAGGAGGGGUGCAAGCUCUGAAUCUAAGCCCUGGUGAACGGCGGCCGUAACUAUAACGGUCCUAAGGUAGCGAAAUUCCUUGUCGGGUAAGUUCCGACCCGCACGAAUGGUUUAAUGGUGUGAAGACUGUCUCAACGUGAGACCCGGUGAAAUUACAGAGUCGGUAAAAAUGCCGAUUAGCUAUGGUAGGGCGAAAAGACCCCGUGAAGCUUUACUACAACUUGACAUUGAGUCGAGAUAUAUUUUGCGCAGGAUAGAUGGGACGCUUUGAAGCUUGGACUUCGGUUCAGGUGGAGCGGCCGUUGAGAUACCAUCCUUAAUAUAUUUUGCCUCUAACUUCUUGCUUUAAUCCGCAAGGGAGACAGUGUUUGGUGGGUAGUUUGACUGGGGCGGUUGCCUCCUAAAGAGUAACGGAGGCGCGCAAUGGUUCUCUAGGCUUGGAUGGAAAUCAAGCUGAUAGUGUAAUCGCACAAGAGAGCUUAACUGUGAGACUGACACGUCGAGCAGAUGCGAAAGCAGGUGAUAGUGAUCCGAUAGUUCCAUGUGGGUGGACUAUCGCUCAACGGAUAAAAGUUACUCCCGGGAUAACAGGCUUAUCGGGUCCAAGAGUUCACAUCGACGACCCGGUUUGGCACCUCGAUGUCGGCUCGUCGCAUCCUGGGGCUGGAGAAGGUCCCAAGGGUUUGGCUGUUCGCCAAUUAAAGCGGUACGCGAGCUGGGUUCAGACCGUCGUGAGACAGGUCGGCCUCUACCCUCCAUAGCCGUAGGAAAUUUGAGAGAAGUUGCCCUUAGUACGAGAGGACCGGGGCGAACGAACCUCUAGUGUAUCUGUUGUCACGUCUCGUGGCAUGGCAGAGUAGCUAUGUUCGGCAGGGAUAACCGCUG
rnacentral:rRNA from 1 species